rnacentral:rRNA from 1 species
GACGAACGCUGGCGGCGUGCCUAAUACAUGCAAGUCGAGCGAAGUUUUUCUGGUGCUUGCACCGGAAAAACUUAGCGGCGAACGGGUGAGUAACACGUAAAGAACCUGCCUCAUAGACUGGGACAACUAUUGGAAACGAUAGCUAAUACCGGAUAACAGCAUUAACUGCAUGGUUGAUGUUUAAAAGUUGGUUUUGCUAACACUAUGAGAUGGCUUUGCGGUGCAUUAGCUAGUUGGUGGGGUAAAGGCCUACCAAGGCGACGAUGCAUAGCCGACCUGAGAGGGUGAUCGGCCACACUGGGACUGAGACACGGCCCAGACUCCUACGGGAGGCAGCAGUAGGGAAUCUUCCGCAAUGGGCGAAAGCCUGACGGAGCAACGCCGCGUGAGUGAAGAAGGAUUUCGGUUCGUAAAGCUCUGUUGUUAGGGAAGAAAUGAUUGUGUAGUAAACUAUACACCAGAAGAG